CCUACGGGUGGCAGCAGUGGGGAAUAUUUGGCAAUGUGCGCAAGCCUGACCCAGCAACGCCGCGUGAAGGAAGAAGGCUUUCGGGUUGUAAACUUCUUUUCUCAGUGACGAAGAAAGUGACGGUACCUGAGGAAUAAGCCACGGCUAACUACGUGCUAGCAGCCGCGGUAAUACGUAGGUGGCAAGCGUUAUCCGGAUUUAUUGGGUGUAAAGGGCGUGUAGGCGGGAGCGCAAGUCAGAGGUGAAACCUCAGGGCUCAACCCUGAGCCUGCAUUUGAAACUGUGUUUCUUGAGUGCUGGAGAGGCAAUCGGAAUUCCGUGUGUAGCGGUGAAAUGCGUAGAUAUACGGAGGAACACCAGUGGCGAAGGCAGCCUGCCAAGCCAUGACUGACGCUGAUGCACGAAAGCGUGGGGAUCAAACAGGAUUUGAUACCCCUGUAGUC
rnacentral:rRNA from 1 species